GAUUUCUGGCUUGUAACAACUUAUCGGCCACGGUUUCGUGUGUUAGUGUAGGUUGUUCUUGCCAUCCUUCCAAUCGCCAUCGGCUUAUCUUCAUUGAUCGGUCGGUGGUAUUGGAUCUUUUACUUUGAAAAAAUUAGAGUGUUUCAAGCAGGCUUUAUGCUAUGAAUACAUUAGCAUGGAAUAAUAAUUUAGGACUUCGGUUCUAUUUUGUUGGUUUCUAGGACUGAAGUAAUGAUUGAUAGGGAUAGUUGGGGGUGCUAGUAUUCAGCGGCCAGAGGUGAAAUUCUCGGAUUCGCUGAAGACUAACUUAUGCGAAAGCAUU
rnacentral:rRNA from 1 species